rnacentral:rRNA from 1 species
CCUACGGGGUGCAGCAGUGGGGAAUAUUGCACAAUGGGCGCAAGCCUGAUGCAGCCAUGCCGCGUGUAUGAAGAAGGCCUUCGGGUUGUAAAGUACUUUCAGCGGGGAGGAAGGUGUUGUGGUUAAUAACCACAGCAAUUGACGUUACCCGCAGAAGAAGCACCGGCUAACUCCGUGCCAGCAGCCGCGGUAAUACGGAGGGUGCAAGCGUUAAUCGGAAUUGCUGGGCGUAAAGCGCACGCAGGCGGUCUGUCAAGUCGGAUGUGAAAUCCCCGGGCUCAACCUGGGAACUGCAUUCGAAACUGGCAGGCUAGAGUCUUGUAGAGGGAGGUAGAAUUCCAGGUGUAGCGGUGAAAUGCGUAGUGAUCUGGAGGAAUACCGGUGGCGAAGGCGGCCCCCUGGACGAAGACUGACGCUCAGGUGCGAAAGCGUGGGGAGCAAACAGGAUUAGAUACCCUUGUAGUC